rnacentral:rRNA from 1 species
GACGAACGCUGGCGGCGUGCUUAACACAUGCAAGUCGAGCGGCGCGGCGAACGGGUGAGUAACGCGUGAGUAACUGCCCCCCUCUCUGGGAUAACAGUUGGCAACGGCUGCUAAUACCGGCUAGUGGGGGAUGACUCGCGUCCUAUGAGCUUGUGGGUGGGGGAGUGGCUGACCAAGGCGACGAAGGGUAGCCGGCCUGAGAGGGCGACCGGGCACAAUGGGCUGAGAGACGGCCCAAACGCCUACGGGAGGCAGCAGUGGGGAAUAUGGCACAAUGGGGGAAACCGUGAUGCAGCAACGCCGCGUUCGGGAUGACGGCCUUCGGGUUGUAAACCGCUUUCAGCCAUGACGCGGUAGUGGCAGAAGAAGCACCGGCUAACUACGUGCCAGCAGCCGCGGUAAUAC